GAGGGUAUAGCUCAGUGGUAGAGUGCAUGAGGUCCUGGUUCAAUCCCCAGUACCUCCA
rnacentral:tRNA from 1 species